rnacentral:rRNA from 1 species
AUGGUGAGGGCUCCUUGCUGCGAGAAGACAGGGCUCAAGAGGGGCCCGUGGACGGUGGAGGAGGACAUGACCCUGGUGGCUCACAUCGAGCAGCACGGGCACAGCAACUGGGGGGCGCUGCCGAAGCAGGCCGGCCUGCUGCGCUGCGCCAAGAGCUGCCGCCUCCGGUGGAUCAACUACCUGUGCCCCGACAUCAAGCGCGGCAACUUCACCAGCGAGGAGGAAGACGCUAUCAUCCAGCUCCACGCCAUGCUCGGCAACAGAUGGUCCACCAUUGCCGCCAGGCUGCCAGGGAGGACGGACAACGAGAUCAAGAACGUCUGGCACACACACCUCAAGAAGCGACUCGACUCGUCCUUGUCCAAGACGUCCGGCCAGGCAGCGCCUAAGCGCAAAGCCAAGAAGCCUGAUGUAGCUGCGAGCACGCUCGAGGAUCCGACCUCCGACCCGGUGUCGCCGGAGCAGUCCCUAUCGACGUCAUCUGCCACCGACUACUCGAUGGCCUCGUCGUUGGAGAACACGGGCUCUUCCUCGGACGAGUUCCAGAUCGACGACAGCUUCUGGUCGGAGACACUUGCGAUGUCGGUGGACUGCUCCGGUUCCGGGAUGGAAACCAGCGACACCGUCGCCGCAGAUAGUGCAUCGCCAUCGUCAAGCAACGAUGAGAUGGACUUCUGGGUCACGCUGUUCAUGCAGGAUGGUGACAUGCAUAGUUUGUCACAAAUUUAA